GACAGAGGGUGCAAACGUUGUUCGGAUUUACUGGGCGUAAAGCGCGUGUAGGCGGCUUUACAAGUCGGAUGUGAAAGCCCACGGCUCAACCGUGGAAGUGCAUCCGAAACUGUAUCGCUGGAGUCCCGGAGAGGAAGGUGGAAUGCUUGGUGUAGAGGUGAAAUUCGUAGAUAUUCGGAGGAACACCAGUGGCGAAGGCGGCUCACUGGUCCAUUACUGACGCUGAGGUGCGAAAGCGUGGGGAGCAAACAGG
rnacentral:rRNA from 1 species